rnacentral:lncRNA from 1 species
UUUUUUCCAGGUCAUCUUUUUCAAAUAGGCGUGUUGGACGAUCCACCUCCGCCGCCGUCGCCAUAUAGCUCAAAUCUACAGCCGUCGUAGUCGUCACUGAAGGAAGUCGGCUUCGUCACCAUCCCAAUGACCGGAUUUAGUUCAGAGACGCCGUUAAAAUCGAUUCUCCUUACCCCCUCGUCAUCUAGUGUGGCGAACAGGUGAAAUCGACUAGAGAAGGUAAACGACGACGACGACAACGACUUUAAAGCCUGAAUUUUAAACGGCUCCCAUUACCCACCCACCCACCUCCAUAAAGAAAAUGUCAGCACAUACGAAAAGCCUUCAACAACCACAACUACUACUCAAUUUCAAUAAUAUCCCACAGAAUUCAGCUAUAUAUAUUCCAGAAUUCAGAAACGUAAACGCUUGUUUCUCUCUGUAUUUUUUUAUUUAUUGAGAAUACCAAAGAUUUCAAGUAAGUAAAGCAGCUAACGUACGUAUCUCAAGUUCGUGGAUUUACUUACAUUGAUCAAAACAACACCUCCCAUCCUCUCAUCAGAUUAGUUACAUUGCACACAAGAAAUUAGUCCCAUUUUCAUAAAACGCAACGCAACGUAACUGACUCCCAAAUCCAGCGCACGUAGCACCCCCCAUCUCCACAACGUACACAACCACGCAAACAAAACUACAAAUGAACAACAAAUCCCCCUCCUCUCCUUUAA